rnacentral:rRNA from 1 species
UACAGAGGGGGCUAGCGUUAUUCGGAAUUAUUGGGCGUAAAGGGCGCGUAGGCGGCCAUGCGUGUCUUCCGUGAAAUCCCUCGGCUUAACUGAGGACGUGCGGAAGAAACUGCAAGGCUCGAGUCCGGGAGAGGGGGGUGGAAUUCCCAGUGUAGCGGUGAAAUGCGUAGAUAUUGGGAGGAACACCGGUGGCGAAGGCGGCCCCCUGGACCGGUACUGACGCUGAGGCGCGAAAGCGUGGGGAGCGAACAGG